rnacentral:rRNA from 1 species
UACGGAGGGGGCUAGCGUUGUUCGGAAUUACUGGGCGUAAAGCGCGCGUAGGCGGCCUUGCAAGUUGGGGGUGAAAUCCCGGGGCUCAACCUCGGAAUUGCCUUCAAGACUGCUCGGCUCGAGUUCGGGAGAGGUGAGUGGAAUUCCCAGUGUAGAGGUGAAAUUCGUAGAGAUUGGGAAGAACACCAGUGGCGAAGGCGGCUCACUGGCCCGCAACUGACGCUGAGGAGCGAAAGCGUGGGGAGCAAACAGG